GUUUAACAAAAACAUGUCUGUAUGAUUGUUAUAUAGAGUCUGGCCUGCCCACUGAUAUUAUAUUAAAGGGCCGCGGUAUUUUGACCGUGCGAAGGUAGCAUAAUCAUUAGUCUUUUAAUUGGAGGCUUGUAUGAAUGGUUGGACAAAAAGUUAACUGUCUCGUUUAUAAAAAUUGAAUUUAACUUUUAAGUGAAAAGGCUUAAAUGUACUGGGGGGACGAUAAGACCCUAUAAAGCUUUAUAAUAAGUUAAUUAAAUUACAAAUUGUUAGUUUAACUUAAUUUAAUUAGUAUUUAUUUCGUUGGGGCGACGAGAAUAUAAAUUAUAUAACUGUUCUUUUAGGUAUAUAAACAAGAUUAAUUGGAUAAAGAUUGAUCC
rnacentral:rRNA from 1 species